rnacentral:rRNA from 1 species
UACGUAGGGUGCAAGCGGUGUCCGGAUUUACUGGGCGUAAAGGGCGCGCAGGCGGCCUGGUAAGUUACUCGUGAAAGCCCCCGGCUAAACCGGGGAGGGUCGAGUGAUACUGUCAGGCUAGAGAGCAGCAGAGGAUAGUAGAAUUCCCGGUGUAGUGGUGAAAUGCGUAGAGAUCGGGAGGAAUACCAGUGGCGAAGGCGGCUAUCUGGGCUGUAUCUGACGCUGAGGCGCGAAGGCUAGGGUAGCAAACAGG